rnacentral:rRNA from 1 species
AUUGAACGCUGGCGGAAUGCUUUACACAUGCAAGUCGAACGAUGAAGUCUAGCUUGCUAGACGGAUUAGUGGCGAACGGGUGAGUAAUAUAUCGGAACGUAUCCAUUAAUGGGGGAUAACUAGUCGAAAGAUUGGCUAAUACCGCAUACGUCCUACGGGAGAAAGCUAGGGACCUUCGGGCCUGGCGUUAAUGGAGCGGCCGAUAUCUGAUUAGCUAGUUGGUGAUGUAAAGGCUCACCAAGGCGACGAUCAGUAGCUGGUCUGAGAGGACGACCAGACACACUGGAACUGAGACACGGUCCAGACUCCUACGGGAGGCAGCAGUGGGGAAUUUUGGACAAUGGGCGCAAGCCUGAUCCAGCCAUUCCGCGUGAGUGAAGAAGGCCUUCGGGUUGUAAAGCUCUUUCGCAAGGGAAGAAAACUUACCCUCUAACAUAGGGUGAGGAUGACGGUACCUUGAUAAGAAGCACCGGCUAACUACGUGCCAGCAGCCGCCGUAAAAC